UACGAAGGGGGCUAGCGUUGCUCGGAAUCAUUGGGCGUAAAGCGCACGUAGGCGGUUUGUUAUGUCGGAUGUGAAAGCCCUUGGCUCAACUGAGGAAGUGCAUCCGAAACUGGCAAGCUAGAGUACUAAAGAGGGUCGCGGAAUUCCCGGUGUAGAGGUGAAAUUCGUAGAUAUCGGGAGGAACACCGGUGGCGAAGGCGGCGACCUGGGUAGAUACCGACGCUGAGGUGCGAAAGCGUGGGGAGCAAACAGG
rnacentral:rRNA from 1 species